UAGUUACUAUAGCAAAGAGGAUACACCUGUUCCCAUUCCGAACACAGAAGUUAAGCUCUUUAGCGCCGAUGGUACUUGGUGGGAAGCUGCCUGGGAGAGNUUACCUCUCGUACC
rnacentral:rRNA from 1 species